UAGUUCAGUUGUGAGUUGCUCACUCAGAAGUGCAGUCACAGUCUUUUCACUCGGUGAAAUGUUGGCCCACAUAUGCCUUCACAUGACCAUCUGACCCGGAAGCUUGAGCGCAGUUCAAAAAGCCGAAAAAAACAGCAGGCGAAAACAGCCAAUUUUUAUGCUCCCGUCUUAAUCUGCUGCUGGUCUACCAGGCGAACACGUUUUCACGGUGUUCCACGAUAGUUCAGGGAGGAAUAAACGUGAAUGUGGACAUCAGUAUGAAGCGUGGACUCUUUCAUGACCAGUGUAGUUUCUGUAUUGUUUUCUGUUUA